UACGUAGGGUGCGAGCGUUGUCCGGAAUUAUUGGGCGUAAAGAGCUCGUAGGCGGCUUGUCACGUCGGAUGUGAAAGCCCGGGGCUUAACUCCGGGUCUGCAUUCGAUACGGGCUAGCUAGAGUGUGGUAGGGGAGAUCGGAAUUCCUGAUGUAGCGGUGAAAUGCGCAGAUAUCAGGAGGAACACCGGUGGCGAAGGCGGAUCUCUGGGCCAUUACUGACGCUGAGGAGCGAAAGCGUGGGGAGCGAACAGG
rnacentral:rRNA from 1 species